UACGGGGGGGGCAAGCGUUGUUCGGAAUUACUGGGCGUAAAGGGCUUGUAGGUGGCCAACUAAGUCAAACGUGAAAUCCCUCAGCUUAACUGGGGAACUGCGUCUGAUACUGGAUGGCUUGAGGAUGGAAGAGGGUCGCGGAAUUCCCAGUGUAGAGGUGAAAUUCGUAGAUAUCGGGAGGAACACCGGUGGCGAAGGCGGCGACCUGGGUCGAGACUGACGCUGAGGCGCGAAAGCGUGGGGAGCAAACAGG
rnacentral:rRNA from 1 species